CAGCGGCCACCUCUAGCCUGAGGCCCGAAAGGCACGCCCGAAGAGAUGCAGCCAUGGAGCUAAGCAUCGCCAGCCUCAUGAGCCCGCACAGCCUGCGGGAGCCCCUAUGCCUGGAAGCGACGGAAGUGCUUUUUGAUCGUGCGUGCCUCUCGGACGGCCGGCGUGCGUGAUGUGGCGGCAGCAAGGGCGGGUCUUCCUUGUGCGCGUGCGUGUGGUGGUGCAUGUGAGCGUUGGACUGCGGAGGCUGCGGCGACCUCGAGCACGACUACGCGGCGCAAGAUUUAGUGGAGCAGGAGCUGGCCGUGGUCGGGCAGGUUCGGGGCGCAGGUGCAGUCGCGCAGGUGCUCGGGAAACCACACGCGUGAUAGAAGCAGGACCUGUCUUGCCGAGCCAGCCGCAUAACCUUGCAGUUGCAGGGCCGAGCUGCUCCCUGUCUUUGCUUUUCCCCCAGGACUUCAGUUUACUCAAGAAACCAAGUAGGUGAUCAUGGAGGUUGACACAAGUACAUGCCAAGUCAGCGUAAAGCUGAGAUGGGAAACCAAAUUGAGCAACUUCAGAAGCGUAAUGCACUAUCCAAGGUAGACCACGAUAGCAGGUAGUCUUGUCAUCUUGCAUCUUUCUUUUUCGAGGAAUUUUGCAUCUUCAUAUAUCUCAUGCAUUGCUUAUAGCUGUGGUACAGAACAUGUAAUGGAAGACUAUUCUUUUUCUUAAUGCAUUUGUAACCUCUGUUUAUUAUACUGUAGAGAAGAGAACCACAUAAUCUUGAUACUAAUAGUUUCAUUUCCAUAAUGGUACAAAAAAGCUGUCUGUAGUUUCCAGAUAUCUUGCCGAUGUUAGCCAGGAAGAGCACCAAAGGAAUGAGCCUAUGGUAUACACCGGAAGCAAGCCACCAAGGGCCUCUUGAGAAGAGGUAGCUUCAGCACUGUACCACUAGAUCAUAGAGACUGACCCAGCUGGAGGAUCGACGUCUCAGUUCUACCUAUAGAAUAUACAGGCAAUGGUACCAUUGUAAACUUGUAGUCUCGCCUACCAUCAUGUAUCUUAAGGAUGUAGCACUAAUGC